rnacentral:rRNA from 1 species
CCUACGGGUGGCAGCAGUGAGGAAUAUUGGUCAAUGGACGAGAGUCUGAACCAGCCAAGUAGCGUGAAGGAUGACUGCCCUAUGGGUUGUAAACUUCUUUUAUAUGGGAAUAAAAUGUUGCACGUGUGGGAUUUUGUAUGUACCAUAUGAAUAAGGAUCGGCUAACUCCGUGCCAGCAGCCGCGGUAAUACGGAGGAUCCGAGCGUUAUCCGGAUUUAUUGGGUUUAAAGGGAGCGUAGGUGGAUUGUUAAGUCAGUUGUGAAAGUUUGCGGCUCAACCGUAAAAUUGCAGUUGAAACUGGCAGUCUUGAGUACAGUAGAGGUAGGCGGAAUUCGUGGUGUAGCGGUGAAAUGCUUAGAUAUCACGAAGAACUCCGAUUGCGAAGGCAGUUCACUGAACUGCAACUGACACUGAGGCUCGAAAGUGUGGGUAUCAAACAGGAUUAGAUACCCGAGUAGUC